AGUGAACGCUGGCGGUAGGCCUAACACAUGCAAGUCGAACGGCAGCACAGUAAGAGCUUGCUCUUACGGGUGGCGAGUGGCGGACGGGUGAGGAAUACAUCGGAAUCUACUUUUUCGUGGGGGAUAACGUAGGGAAACUUACGCUAAUACCGCAUACGACCUACGGGUGAAAGCAGGGGAUCUUCGGACCUUGCGCGAUUGAAUGAGCCGAUGUUGGAUUAGCUAGUUGGGUGGGUAAAGGCCCACCAAGGCGAGGAUCCGUAGCUGGUCGGAGAGGAUGAUCAGCCACACUGGAAGUGAGACACGGUCCAGACUCCUAAGGGAGGGAGCAGUGGGGAAUAUUGGACAAUGGGCGCAAGCCUGAUCCAGCCAUACCGCGUGGGUGAAGAAGGCCUUCGGGUUGUAAAGACCUUUUGUUGGGAAAGAAAAGCAGCAGGUUAAUACCCCGCGGUUCUGACGGUACCCAAAGAAUAAGCACCGGCUAACUUCGUG
rnacentral:rRNA from 1 species